GACAGAGGGUGCAAACGUUGCUCGGAAUCACUGGGCGUAAAGGGCGUGUAGGCGGGAAGGAAAGUCAGAUGUGAAAUCCCUAGGCUCAACCUAGGAACUGCAUUUGAAACUCCCUUUCUUGAGUACCGGAGAGGAAGGUGGAAUGCCUGGUGUAGAGGUGAAAUUCGUAGAUAUCAGGCGGAACACCAGUGGCGAAGGCGGCCUUCUGGACGGUAACUGACGCUGAGACGCGAAAGCGUGGGGAGCAAACAGG
rnacentral:rRNA from 1 species